rnacentral:rRNA from 1 species
CCUACGGGUGGCUGCAGUGGGGAAUAUUGGACAAUGGGCGAAAGCCUGAUCCAGCCAUGCCGCGUGUGUGAAGAAGGCCUUCGGGUUGUAAAGCACUUUCAGCGGGGAAGAAAGCCUUGGGGCUAAUACCCUCGAGGAAGGACAUCACCCACAGAAGAAGCACCGGCUAACUCCGUGCCAGCAGCCGCGGUAAUACGGAGGGUGCGAGCGUUAAUCGGAAUUACUGGGCGUAAAGCGCGCGUAGGCGGUCUGAUAAGCCGGUUGUGAAAGCCCCGGGCUCAACCUGGGAACGGCAUCCGGAACUGUCAGGCUAGAGUGCAGGAGAGGAAGGUAGAAUUCCCGGUGUAGCGGUGAAAUGCGUAGAGAUCGGGAGGAAUACCAGUGGCGAAGGCGGCCUUCUGGACUGACACUGACGCUGAGGUGCGAAAGCGUGGGUAGCAAACAGGAUUAGAUACCCCAGUAGUC